rnacentral:rRNA from 1 species
CUACGGAGUGCAGCAGUGAGGAAUUUUGCGCAAUGGGGGAAACCCUGACGCAGCAACGCCGCGUGAGUGAUGAAGGCCUUCGGGUCGUAAAGCUCUGUCAAGUGGGAAGAACCUACGUGUGGGUAAUAUUUACAUGUACUGACGGUACCACUGAAGGAAGCACCGGCUAACUCCGUGCCAGCAGCCGCGGUAAUACGGGGGGUGCAAGCGUUAUUCGGAAUUAUUGUGGCGUAAAGGGCGCGUAGGCGGUUUUGUUAGUCAGAUGUGAAAGCCCGGGGCUCAACCCCGGAAGUGCAUUUGAAACGGCAAGACUUGAGUAUGGGAGAGGGAAGUGGAAUUCCUGGUGUAGAGGUGAAAUUCGUAGAUAUCAGGAGGAACAUCUGUGGCGAAGGCGACUUCCUGGACCAAUACUGACGCUAAUGCGCGAAGGCGUGGGUAGCAAACAGGAUUAGAUACCCGUGUAGUC